AUUGAACGCUGGCGGCAGGCUUAACACAUGCAAGUCGAGCGGGGUGAUGGUGCUUGCACUAUCACUUAGCGGCGGACGGGUGAGUAAUGCUUAGGAAUCUGCCUAUUAGUGGGGGACAACAUCUCGAAAGGGAUGCUAAUACCGCAUACGUCCUACGGGAGAAAGCAGGGGAUCACUUGUGACCUUGCGCUAAUAGAUGAGCCUAAGUCGGAUUAGCUAGUUGGUGGGGUAAAGGCCUACCAAGGCGACGAUCUGUAGCGGGUCUGAGAGGAUGGUCCGCCACACUGGGACUGAGACACGGCCCAGAAUCCUACGGGAGGCAGCAGUGGGGAAUAUUGGACAAUGGGGUGAACCCUGAUCCAGCCAUGCCGCGUGUGUGAAGAAGGCCUUAUGGUUGUAAAGCACUUUAAGCGAGGAGGAGGCUCUUUUGGUUAAUACCCAAGAUGAGUGGACGUUACUCGCAGAAUAAGCACCGGCUAACUCUGUGCCAGCAGCCGCGGUAA
rnacentral:rRNA from 1 species